rnacentral:rRNA from 1 species
CCUACGGGAGGCAGCAGUGAGGAAUAUUGGUCAAUGGGCGCGAGCCUGAACCAGCCAAGUAGCGUGAAGGAAGACUGCUCUAUGGGUUGUAAACUUCUUUUAUAAAGGAAUAAAGUGAUGCACGUGUGCCUUUUUGCAUGUACCCUAUGAAUAAGCAUCGGCUAACUCCGUGCCAGCAGCCGCGGUAAUACGGAGGAUCCGAGCGUUAUCCGGAUUUAUUGGGUUUAAAGGGUGCGUAGACGGGUUGUUAAGUCAGUUGUGAAAGUUUGCGGCUCAACCGUAAAAUUGCAAUUGAGACUGGCAGUCUUGAGUACGGUUGAGGUAGGCGGAAUGCGUGGUGUAGCGGUGAAAUGCAUAGAUAUCACGAAGAACCCCGAUUGCGAAGGCAGCUUACUAAACUGUGACUGACAUUGAUGCACGAAAGUGUGGGUAUCAAACAGGAUUAGAUACCCUUGUAGUC